UACGUAGGGAGCGAGCGUUAUCCGGAUUUAUUGGGUGUAAAGGGUGCGUAGGCGGUUUAAUAAGUCUGUGGUAUAAUCCCGAAGCUUAACUUCGGUUCGCCACAGAAACUGUUUAACUUGAGUUUGGUAGAGGCAAGUGGAAUUUCUAGUGUAGCGGUUAAAUGCGUAGAUAUUAGAGGGAACACCAGUGGCGAAGGCGGCUUGCUGGGCCAUUACUGACGCUGAGGCACGAAAGCGUGGGGAGCAAAUA
rnacentral:rRNA from 1 species